rnacentral:rRNA from 1 species
UACGUAGGGACCAAGCGUUGUUCGGAUUUACUGGGCGUAAAGGGCGCGUAGGCGGCAAUUCAAGUCAGUUGUGAAAUCUCCGAGCUUAACUCGGAACGGUCAACUGAUACUGCUUUGCUAGAGUACAGAAGGGGCAAUCGGAAUUCUUGGUGUAGCGGUGAAAUGCGUAGAUAUCAAGAGGAACACCUGAGGUGAAGACGGGUUGCUGGGCUGAUACUGACGCUGAGGAGCGAAAGCGUGGGGAGCGAACAGG